rnacentral:tRNA from 1 species
AGGCGUGUAGGGAAACUGGAGAACCCGCCUCGCUACGAACGAGGAGAUUGCAGGUUCGAAUCCUGCCAUGCCUUCCA